GAUGAACGCUGGCGGCGUGCCUAAUACAUGCAAGUCGAGCGAAUGGAUUAAGAGCUUGCUCUUAUGAAGUUAGCGGCGGACGGGUGAGUAACACGUGGGUAACCUGCCCAUAAGACUGGGAUAACUCCGGGAAACCGGGGCUAAUACCGGAUAAUAUUUUGAACUGCAUGGUUCAAAAUUGAAAGGCGGCUUCGGCUGUAACUUAUGGAUGGACCCGCGUCGCAUUAGCUAGUUGGUGAGGUAACGGCUCACCAAGGCAACGAUGCGUAGCCGACCCGAGAGGGUGAUCGGCCACACUGGGACUGAGACACGGCCCAGACUCCUACGGGAGGCAGCAGUAGGGAAUCUUCCGCAAUGGACGAAAGUCUGACGGAGCAACGCCGCGUGAGUGAUGAAGGCUUUCGGGUCGUAAAACUCUGUUGUUAGGGAAGAACAAGUGCUAGUUGAAUAAGCUGGCACCUUGACGGUACCUAACCAGAAAGCCACGGCUAACUACGUGCCAGCCGCCGCGGUAA
rnacentral:rRNA from 1 species